rnacentral:rRNA from 1 species
AGUAUCGCGUGGGUAAUCUACCUUGAGGUGGGGGAUAGCCUCGGGAAACCGAGGGUAAUACCGCAUGAGUCCUCAAUGACAUAAGUCGAUGAGGGGAAAGGCGGGGCUCCUUCGGGACCUGUCGCCUCUAGAUGAGCCCGCGUCCGAUUAGCUAGUUGGUGGGGUAAUGGCCUACCAAGGCAACGAUCGGUAGCCGGCCUGAGAGGGUGAACGGCCGCAUUGGGACUGAGACACGGCCCAG